rnacentral:lncRNA from 1 species
CUCAGAUACAUUUUUGAAACAGUAAUAUGUAAUACAAACAUAAUACAUUUUUAGAGCUGUAAUCACUAAUAUAGAAUAUAAUACAAUUUUUAAGUAACUUGCCCAACACUGAUAAAGAUAAAACGGAAACCCUCUCUGGUUCUACUGAAAUGACUGAAGAGAUUAUCUGAUCGAUGUUGUAAUCAGUAAAAGUUUCCUGUUUUGAACGUUUCAUCUGUAGAUUCGUCACGCUGCUGCUAAUGUGCUUCGAGAGUGCUGGCUGCUGCACCGCACCAACCUGAGCCAGGCCAACUGCAGGGAGCGCCGCAGGCAUCAGCGCUGUCUCCUGGAGGCCAUCCGAGUGUUUCGCCAUUUACGACUCAAACAGAGAAAACUGAGAGACUAUGCCAGUGAAAUGGUGGAUUUACCAAAGAUGCAAAUGAUCAUGUGUGAUCUUAGUGCUAACUGGAAUAACUCUUAUCGGGAGCUGGAGCAGCGGAUCCUGUCCAUGGAGCAGAAGUUGGAUGAGCUCAACCACUGCUUCCAACAGACGUCCGAACUGCUUUCUCUUUUCCUCCGCCAGCGCACACCGGAGAUCAGGUGACAUGGGUGACAAUGUCUUUGGCAGACUUCACUUACUCUAAGAAUGAGUGAGAAAACCUCAGCACACGGGCUGUAGACUCUGAACAUGCUGAACCACUUGAAAGACUGGCACCACGACCAAAGAUCUCAUCUUCUGGCCCCGUGUUGAGCACACAGCACCAUGACUCACCCCUGUAAAAUUACACAGAGAAUGAUGAAGGGAUCAUGGGGCAUUUGAUCAAUUUGGUGUGUGUUUUUAAUCAGUUGUUCAAAGUUUUUGUGACUAAGCAAAACCAUUGUUGAGAACUGGCCUCUGCCGUCAGUUUUUGAGAUUUGGGAAGCUUCAGGCUCCACAAGCGAUUCUGUCUCUACCAUAUUCCCAUGGAAUAAUACUUUUUUCUUUUCUAUUUUUACAUUGUACGGAAUAUUUUACAUUUUUAUCUGUUGAACAGCGUUACCGAUUUGGGUCAAGAUUCACUCAUUAGAUCUGUAAUGCAGGCAAUGCAGAAGGUUAAAAAUAUGUCUUAACAACAUUAAAACUGUCAAAAAGGUCACGUUUGCAUCUGCUCCAUC